GCUUACGGCCACACCCCCUGGUUCACGUCCGAUCUCGUUUGAUCUCGGAAGCUAAAAUAGGUUGGGCCUGGUUAGUACUUGCAUGGGAGACUGCCUGGGAAUACCAGGUGCUGUAAGCU
rnacentral:rRNA from 1 species